AAGAGGGGGCCCACAGAAUAAUCCUCAAGCAAAAAGAAUUCUCCAUUUAUUCACACUACAUAUGCACUACAUAGACUCUCGGUUUUUCAUUCGGAGGGGACGACCAUAUUCAUCAAAAAGGGGGGGUUCACCAUCUUCGUCUCUUUUUUCUUGAAAAUAAGCAAAAGCACAGAGAACGGACACUUUCCUCUCUCAGCUUCUCACCCCAAAAUCAUACUCUCACCACACCCACCAUAAACACACACGCACAUGUUGAGGACGAAAUAAAAAAAAAUAGAGGGAGCUUGCGAUUUCUGCCGUGAAGCAGUAAAAUCAGAGUGAAAUCCAGUCAUCCUUUAAGAUUUUUUUCGGUGAAAUCAUCGCCAAAAUCUAUUCUCAGCUCGUUAUUUCGGUCGAACUGAUCUUAGAGAUCCAAAAUUCCUUUAUCUCCUUGAUUUCUAAGUGGAUCUGGUUGAAAAAAAAUGUUGGGAUUUUCGAAAUUGGUUGUUGUCUAUUUGGGUUCAAGUGUCACUAAUCGAACUAGUGUUAGGUUACUCGUCUCGAUAAUUUUUUUCGGCGUACAGCUGGGUUGCUUCGGAUGAGAUUUCUAUUUCUAGGCUUGGUCGGCUUUGGUUUGCUUCGGGUAGCUGUUUAUCGAUACCGAGUUGGGGUCUCGUCAUUGUUGAGGUUUCCUAUUCGGGUUUUUGGAUUCGGGUCUUCUUUAACUCAUUAUUAUCAAUGAAAGUCGACUUCGGAAGGAUGGAUCCGUCCACAAAGUCUAAAGUCCGAUUGGUUGGUAAGGUGCCUAAAAAGUUAAUCAAGUGGUGGGGCACGUUUAACUACGUUGACCAGGAAGAGCUAAUUAAAAUAUUAGGUGAUCUUACGGAGCUUCUGCAUAUCUCUCCCCAUUAAGAUCUAAUAGAUACUAUAUUGACCUUUUGGGAUCCUAGUAAUUUGGUGUUUAGGUUCGGAAAGUUUGAGAUGACACCUACCUUGGUAGAAAUAUCCGGUCUGCUCCAUUUGCCUUAUAUUGAUAAAAGCAUGAUCCGAGCUAGGAACCACUUGGGCAAUAGGUUUCUGCAAGGUUGUGGAUUGAAGAGUAACAAUAGGCAUUUGGGUUGUCUGAAUCAAUCAUGGAUUUCCUUGGAUUUUUUAUUCAAGAGAUUCGGUUCUUUGGAAGGUUUUGGGCUGAAUUUUAUAUGACUAGGCAGAAGUGGGAGAGAAAGCGUCUUGAAGUCUUCACCCUCGCCUUGUUAGGGACUCUAGUGUUUCCAUAAGAAGAAAGACGUGUUAAUACACAUUUACAAUCUGUGGUAAUGUCUCUAUUUCAUAAAGAUCAAAAGGACAAGGGCGCUAAGUAAAAGGACAAGGUCAGGGUUACUAUCGUACCCAUGAUCUUAACAGAAAUAUAUAAAGUUUUAACCGAGGUGAAGGGGGAUGAGAUUUUUUGAGGGAAGUAACCUGAUAUCGCAACUGUGGAUGAUGGAGCAUUUGCAUACGCCUUUCUUAGUUAGACCGGACAUGAUUGAUUGUUGCAUGGCCAAUCGAGUGAAAGCCAUGGACCUCAGUAUGCGCUUGGAUAAAUUCUCGCUAACUAUGAGAGUCGAUGCUUGGAUUGAGUUUCUCGAGUCAAGGACUGAGGAUAAUAUUCUGUGGACCUAUUUGUGGCUUCAUCCAAAAGUAAUCUUGUUGGGUUGUCAGAUGCAACUUCUUCUGGUUAUGUUAUGGCUUAAUUACACAAGACUAUACGCUUCUUCUAGGGUAAUGAGACAGUUGGGUAGGUCGCAGGAUGUACCGCCAGUAGUGGAUCUUCUAAAGGAUGUCGAGUACAUUAAGGACCAAGCCUUAGGCGAGAGCAAAUACGAGCAUUUUUGGAAUCGUGCAACAAAUCUAGGAGCGGAUACUUUCAAAGAAAGUUUGGAUAAUCCGGGGUACACUCAAAGAUAUGAGAUCUGGCUGCAAACCAUACCUCGGGGUAUUAGUAGGCCAUUGCCCUUGUAACUUAGAGGAAGAAUACAUGAAGAAUUCAUUGUCGAGGAUAGUUAGGAUGAAAGUUUGGGGGCCAAAGUGAAGACACUAAGAGUUCAGUUAUCGGAUUUGCUCAAGACUGUAGAAAGGUAUCAAAACAAUCUUUUCAGGUGCACUCUCCAUGAGGCGGGGAUACGUGCCAGAAAAUUCUUCCCAAAUAUCAGGGUGUCUUUGUAGGAUAUGCUACAGAGUUUGAAUGGGAGAAAGAGAACUUCACAGACAAGUCCAUCUCAGCCAGGGUCAUCACGAAGAGCACCAGUUUGAAGGAGCAUUUCUUAUCUUUUGUUUAGGUUGAGUCCUUCACUUUUCUGCCAUUUGUAGUAUUUAAUCUUUUUUAGUUGGUGUCAAGUUUGCUUUAACUUUGGAGUCUUUAUUAGGAGCAUUAUGUAUGUUGUCAUGCUCGUCUAGAAUGUCAUUCGGUCUUUGUUGAUUAGUAUCGAGGUUGUCUUAAUUUCGUUGUAUGUUUUUGUUGUUUCUUUCAUCAAAAUGUUAUGAUGUUACGUCUUU